UGGUUUAAUGAAGGUUUGAGUGCAAAUCAAACGGCGGGCUUGAAAUGGCCCUUAAGCCU
rnacentral:tRNA from 1 species